UACGAGGGGGGCAAGCGUUGUUCGGAAUUAUUGGGCGUAAAGGGCGCGUAGGCGGUGCGGUAAGUCAUCUGUGAAAUCUCCGGGCUCAACUCGGAGUCUGCAGGCGAAACUGCCGUGCUUGAGUAUGGGAGAGGUGAGUGGAAUUCCCGGUGUAGCGGUGAAAUGCGCAGAUAUCGGGAAGAACACCCGUGGCGAAGGCGGCUCUCUGGGACGGUACUGACGCUGAGACGCGAAAGCGUGGGGAGCGAACAGG
rnacentral:rRNA from 1 species